rnacentral:rRNA from 1 species
UACGAAGGGGGCUAGCGUUGCUCGGAAUCACUGGGCGUAAAGCGCACGUAGGCGGAUCUUUAAGUCAGGGGUGAAAUCCCAAGGCUCAACCUUGGAACUGCCUUUGAUACUGCAAGUCUCGAGUCCGAUAGAGGUGGGUGGAAUUCCUAGUGUAGAGGUGAAAUUCGUAGAUAUUAGGAAGAACACCGGUGGCGAAGGCGGGUCUCUGGGCCGAUACUGACGCUGAGGAGCGAAAGCGUGGGGAGCGAACAGG